AACAUUUGGGUUUACAGCUUUCCAAACUCUUCCAAGAGAACGAUGGGGCUGCUCUGGGAAGGCUCCGAGCAGGAAUCACAGGCUCAGGCCUUGCCUGCAGCAGGAGGUGGAGGGAGAUCUGAUAGAUCAUCUGAGAGAUUCAGUGGCUGCGGAGUUUCUGCUCCCUCUCCAGUAACUAAGGAAGAGAGGAAAAUCCAGAGUGUAUGAGAAGACCAAGCCCAGGAACUGAGCAUUCACAAAGUGACCCUACAGUGGACAACAAGAAGCUUCAGUGACCCUGAAUGAAGCUGCUGAUGUUUCUUUUGAGCACCAUUGCAGAGCAAAUCUACCAGGUCACCUCAGCCUUCUCUGGGGGAAUCUGAACUACUUGAAUUUCUACUCAAGUGCAUGAUUUGCUUCUGAUCAGAGAUAUGGGUAGGAAAAAACAUAAAUAAAGCAAGCAC